CUUACCAACAUAGAAUCUGAGAGUGCCUGACUAUACAAUCAUUAAUAUUUAGUUGGCAUUACUACCUAAAAGUUCUGAAGUUCUGUGAAUUGUUUAUUUAUGAGCAAUGCUCAUUUUUAAAUUUGAGAAUUAACAUCUAUUUUUGUGAAUCUCUCCUCCCAACCAAACAUAGCUUCUGCCUGAAAGUAUCCGGUACCAGAUGGACAGAAGUGGUAGGUACAGUUCUGUUUUUAGGCUGAGAACAGAUGUCGCACUGGGGGUGUGAAUCACUCUCCUCCACACAGUCCUGUCUCUGAACAUCCUGUGCAACUGUUCUGCUCUGGGGGAUUCCCCACUGUGGCUUUUCACUGGGACUUCGAGGAUAGACAUCUAUUUUAGCAUUUAAGGACUUCUGAUCCCCCAGGUACUAACAUUAGGCCUCUGAUUCAUUUUUACAUAUGUUUAUCUGCUCAAGGGCUGAGGAAUAAGGGGCUGGUUUCCUUAUAUGCAUUUUCUUUCCCCAAUUGUGAUAGGGGAAUUUGAAUUAAAGAGUCUCUGGUCUCAACCUGUUGAAAUCCUCCUUUCUUUUUUACCGUGG
rnacentral:lncRNA from 1 species